AGGACGAACGCUGGCGGCGUGCUUAACACAUGCAAGUCGAACGGAAAGGUCCCGCUUGCGGGUACUCGAGUGGCGAACGGGUGAGUAACACGUGGGCAACCUGCCCUCAGCCUUCGGGAUAACACUUGGAAACAGGUGCUAAUACCGGAUAACAACUUUUCAUCGCAUGGUGGAUGGUUCAAAGUUUUUCGGCUGAGGUAUGGGCCCGCGGCCUAUCAGCUUGUUGGUGGGGUAAUGGCCUACCAAGGCGACGACGGGUA
rnacentral:rRNA from 1 species